GGGUAGGACGCGAUGCCUCGUCCUCCUACCCAACUCCUAUUCCGGCACGUCCACGUCGUGCAGAGCGGUAACAUGCGUUACUAGGGGUGCAAGAGUCCACAGCGGCUCUUUUUGCUGCACUAGUUGCGGCAGAUGGUAACGCAUGGCUAAGCCGGAAAGGGGGAGACAGGCCAACAAAUUAGUGCUGGAAAUUUGUUGGUUCUGGUUUUUGUAAAUAGUCCAUCCAUAGUGUAUAGUCCACAGCUCUUGCUGUACGAAGUAGUGAGGCUCAGCAUCUCGGCCUUACCUUCAACGGCAAAUGAAAAAACAGCGGAGCUGAUCAAUACAAAUUAUUUUCAAACUGUUCCAUGUGUUCUGGAGCGUACAAUUUUAAUAAUUGAAGAAGUUCAACAAAACACCAGCCCUAAUGGCCAGCAAUUUGUUCGGGAUUUGUGGAACAAAAUAUCCUUCAUCCACAGCUUCACCAGUGAAGCGAUCGAUGUUUAAGAUCCAGAGCUGAGAGCAAAUGAAAGACAUUCUGUAUUGGAUUUGUCACCUAUUCAAAAAUCGGUCUCCCUUCCCUUUGAUACAAGCUUUGCCUUCGACUAGUACUGUCAUAGACACUUUCGAUCCAUGACUUUGAUUUUAUCACCAAGUAGCAACAUCAACAUCAGCCCAGAUCAACCAUCAAUCAACAGAUCAGCGUCAUCAACUACUACGAUCAAUCCUUCCAACAAUCAAACUAUCCAACACUCCGGAAAACUAUCAACCAGCAGGCAGGACAGUCAUGAUAAAACGGCAAAUCUUUCCUUGAACGACAUCUGCUGUUGGAGCUGCUUAUAACGACGAUAAUUAGAGUAUGUAGAGUAUAUUAUAGAAUUGAUUUAUGUUAAAACCAUUAUUACAAUCAUUUUGUUCAUGACUAAGUACGUUUAAACUUCCUUGCUGCACUACAUGUAACAAUUACUACCAUUUCUUCAGUUACAUUGAGUAACAUUAAUGUUACUUUAUUAUAUGUUUGUUUUUAUACUUUAAAAUAGCAAUACAGUGUACCCUUCAAUUUUCUUUUACAUUCAUGAUGUUCAUAAUUAGCAGUAACACGUGAUCGUUGCAAUAACAUAAAUGCUUACGAGCGAUAUCAUUGUUUUUUAGUGGAUUGAAGGAAUUUCGUGAUGUGUGACCUUGCAUAAGUAUGUGGACAAUUAGUGCGGGUGCUAAUUGGCCUACUAAUAGACGAAUCUUUUGUUGUCAAUAAUUCAUUCACCCUCUGCUCUUUUCAGCAAGAUUUGCAUUGCUCUCGAUUCAAACAACUGCGGCAGUUGGAUCGAUGGGUGCAAUAGAAAAUCAUCAGGCAAAAUUAAUUUGGUUUUGAUUCUAUAACUUCAUUUUAAUUUUUUUAAUUGUAUGUAUUAAUUAUCGGGAAAAAUCGAAUUAAAAUUUUAUGUGUUAAUUAGCCUUUCUAAUGUUACUAUAAUCUUACUCUAACCAUCCGGAGCAAUUAUAAAGUGGGGAAAAUGUAUGAUUCUUGUCAAUACAUAACUUCAGUUUUUCCUAUGCCUUAUUAGUUCUAGACCUUCUAAUGCUAUAAAGUUCAUAGUAAUUUCUUAAAAAUUCAACAAUUAUUGACAAAUUUGGCAUUUAAUAACGCAUUUAUUUUGAAACAUUUGAUUUAAAAAAAAAAGCGACAAGCAGCGCAGUUUCCCUAGAUUGGUGAUGCAUACAGAAUUAUCGGUCUUAUAACACAUUCACACAGCAAGAGCAAGAGCUAGUUGUUGCAGUUCAAUUCGGAUUUUCUAUUUAUCACGCAUAACUUUUUGGCAUUUUAUUGCUUUCUGCUCAACGUGAUCUUGGAAUGUUAUUCUCUUGUAUAUGUUUAACAUUAUUACUUCAUGCAAUCUCCGUGUUGUUAUUUGUGAUAUUUCUUUUCGGUUUUUUUUCUGGCACAUGUGAAACGUGUGAAAAAUAUAGCCUCAAUUUUCAUGUCAGUAAUUUUAAGCUUCCAUUGCAGUUUAAUUUUAAUAAUUGUAAUGUAAAAAUUGUACUACGUUUCCUUUUUCCAUUAUUUUCCUCAUUCUACCACCAAGUGGAGUUGAUGCGGUGGUGUGUCAUUUCUGUCUCCUUACCUCGUUUGCGCAUGAUAGUUUAUCCAUUCUACAACCAUCGCUUUCGGAAUCAGAAUUGAUCAAUUAAUCUUAAAUGCCAGAUAGAGUCAAAAGCUUUCUCAGCAUCAAGAAGAACUACGUCGGUUGUAUUUGUAUUACAUCUGUUGUGUAUGUUUUUGUUCUUUAAUCUAUGGGGCAACUAAAAAGGCUAAACGGUCUAUAGCUUUCUAGUUGACUGUGAUCUGUGCCUGGUUUAAGUAUCGCUAUAACUUUAGCUAUUUUACAUGCAUUUGGAAAGUAGCCAAGUUGAAGGCAACCAUUUGGAAUGGUAUUGAGGUAUAUAAUGGCUUAUGGAGGUAACUUUUUGAGUGUGUAGUUAUUUAUGUUGACAAUAUCGAAUGUUUUUUUUUCGGUUUGAAUCUUUUAAGAAUUGGCAAAAUAUCUUUUGGUUUGAAUAGGUUAUUUUGUAUAGGCUCUUAAUUGAUACAAGGAAGUUUGAAACGGUUGUUUUCACUUGAAAUUCGGUUGGGCGUGUAAUAAUGUACUGCUGUUAGUGUUUGUGCGGAUUCAAAAACAGCUUUUAGUGCCUUAUAUUUUUCGUUUUCCGUUAUGAGCGGUUUUGAUUGUUUUUUAUGAUUAUCAUGAACUUCCAUAGUUUGUUUUUUUAGGUUUGUCCUUAUUCAUUGAAAUUAGAUUUAGAUUUGGUUUUAUUAUGUUAGUCCUUUUUCAUUGAAGUUAUAUCUAUUGACCACGAUUUGUUUCGCAAUUCAGAUAAUUUAGUAAUUUAUAAGAUUUUUCAAAAAAUAAUAUGAUUGUUUUAAUAUAUUAUUAAAUCGGUGUCGUUGCCAUCGUUUGCGAUACGUAUUUAGAAUUUUUAUAAGCUUAAUAAUAUCUGGGGGGAUUAUUAAAUUAUAACUUCCUGCUGAUUGUGGUUGUUAGUUUUUCUAUCAUAUUAUCAAUUUGAUGUUGUCUAUGUAUGCUGGUCAAGUGAAAUUUCAACUGGUUUGAUUCUAGAAUUGCUGUCAUAUCUGAAUAAGGACCAGUUUGCUUUGGUAUAAUCAUCAACGGCUAACUUUUUCACUGACACCGGGUUAAUGCCCUCAGCUACUAGCACUUGUUUUUACCUCUUCCGGUGGGUAUAUCGAAAAGACCGCUUAGUACUAUUUUGCUUGUAGGAUCCUCCACCAGUUGGUGAGGAUGAAAAUUCACUUUAAUCUUAGACAGAUAACUAACCACUGUUCUAAUGUCGUCGGUUGUGUAUGUGUACACGAUCAUACCUUUGUUUGCCACUUUGGUGUGCUAACGUAUUACUCCUGCGUCGAUUACUUUUUUGUGCACUUCGCCUAAUGACAUGCACACAAUCUUGAUUGGAG